AGUCUCAACAAUGAUGCAUACAUGUCCACUAUGGGUGUUGGGUCCAACAAUUCGCAUUGGUCUCAAACCAAUGACAUCCAUUUCGAAGACCAUGAGUUUGAGGUGGACGAGGAGGGUGAGGGAAUUGUCGAGGCGCCGAAAGAAAGAGCGGGCAAUUACUCAACCAACGAUGACAAGUUACUAUGCCAUACUUAUUUGCAAGUGUCGAGGGAUCCAUCCAUUGGAGGUGAUCAAAGUAGAGACGCGUAUUGGGGGCGAAUGAAAGAACACUUUGAUGCUCACAACUUGAGUGGAAUUGACCGCUCCGAGAGAUCACUUCGGUCCCGAUGGUCGACAAUCAACUCGGAUUGUCAAAAGUGGGCGGCCGUACAAAAGGCAGUUGACAAGAUUAACCCAAGUGGCACAAAUGAGGAUGAUCGAGUAAGUGGCAUCUCAUAUAUAUUCAUCAUACUUGUUUUUGGUGACCGAAGUGCUAACUUGUUUUGUUUUUCUUGUAGUACAACAUUGCACAAAACUUGUUCAAAGAAGAGACAAGGACAACCAAAAAGGGGAAGAUCAAGAAAGGCAGGGUCUUUACCUUGCCUCAUUGCUAUGAAGUGUUAA
rnacentral:rRNA from 1 species